rnacentral:lncRNA from 1 species
UGACUUGAAGCCAAGUAAUAUCCUGUUGGACCUUGACAUGAUUGCUUAUGUCAGUGACUUUGGCCUAGCAAGAUGUCCAAACAUUACAUCAAAUGGAAAUGAAGGGCAUUCAAAAAGCUUUACUUUCCUAAAAGGAUCGAUAGGAUACAUCCCACCAGGUGAGAUAACCAUACUCAUACUCGUAAUGACUUAACUCUUUGUUUUUUUAUAGAAUUAUAGAGACUUGCAUAUAUAUUAUCUAAAUUAUUGCAUAAAAUAAAUUACAUGCAGAGUAUGGUAUGAAUGAAGUGAUAUCAACCAAGGGUGAUGUCUACAGUUUCGGUGUGUUUCUGUUAGAAAUGAUAACGGGGAGUAGGCCUACUGAUGAAAAGUUCAGUGACGGCACAAACCUUCAUGAACUUGUUGCAAGUGCUUUUCCUAAUAAUAUCUACGAGAUAGUUGAUCCCAGAAUGUUACAAGACGAAGUCAACGUAACAACAGUGAUGCAGAACUGCAUCAUUCCAUUGGUCAGAAUAGGUCUCUGCUGCUCCGUGGCAUCUCCUAAGGACCGAUGGCAAAUGGGACCAGUGUCUGCUGAACUCCUUAAGAUCAAGCAGAAAUUCUCAACCAUACAUGGUGUAAAGCAUCAGCAAGAUCAGUAGUGUUCUAUUUAAAAAUGGAAGUGGCUGUGCUGCUGAGCUACCUUCACUUUGUAAGUUUGUUCUUGCAGAACAAUUAAACUAUUUUAGGCAGAGUUCCAGCCGAGUUCUUAAAAAAAAAAAAGUGGGAAAAGCACCGAUCAAAUGGCAAGAUCUCAACCGAUCUGCACAACUAGUCUUCGAUCAAGUGCAAUUAUGUAUUCGCGGAAGCUGGAUUUGGGUCAGACUGCAAAUGGAGAAGGUGAAGAGCGGAGACGGAGGAAUAUGGAUCAAUCUCACACCGCAAAAUUCGCACAAAAUCAGAUGAUGGAUAGAUGAUGUAGAUAGAUAUACUACAUGGAUAGGGGGCGCACCUCCUUGCUGCUUGUGUGCACCCUCGGAGCCCUAGAUCCCGCCUCCCGCGCCGCUCCAGAUGGUCGGGCCUCGCCUCGGCAUAGAGCAAUCGCCCCCCGCCGGCCUACUACACCGGCCGCCAUGUCCUCACCGCACCUCGCGCGCUUUCGCACCGGCCAACGAAACAUUGGUCGCCGCAGGGAUCAGCACGGGCCACGAGCGCGCGCCACUGCUGGUGCCAGCCUCGGUGAGGGGGGCGGUGGCCUGUUGCCAAGGUGUGCUAUGCUACACGCUCGCCGUGGCGCCGCCGGCGUCGGCUGACGCUCGGCUCGUCAAGAGUGACCGGCUCGCAGAUUUGGAAGAGUUUAUUAAAAAUAAGAA